GUGGGGAAUCUUAGAUAAUGGGCGCAAGCCUGAUCUAGCCAUGCCGCGUGAGCGAUGAAGGCCUUAGGGUUGUAAAGCUCUUUCAGUGGGGAAGAUAAUGACUGUACCCACAGAAGAAGCCCCGGCUAACUCCGUGCCAGCAGCCGCGGUAAUACGGAGGGGGCUAGCGUUGUUCGGAAUUACUGGGCGUAAAGCGCACGUAGGCGGACUGGAAAGUCAGGGGUGAAAUCCCGGGGCUCAACCCCGGAACUGCCUUUGAAACUCCCAGUCUUGAGGUCGAGAGAGGUGAGUGGAAUUCCGAGUGUAGAGGUGAAAUUCGUAGAUAUUCGGAGGAACACCAGUGGCGAAGGCGGCUCACUGGCUCGAUACUGACGCUGAGGUGCGAAAGCGUGGGGAGCAAACAGGAUUAGAAACCCCAGUAGUCC
rnacentral:rRNA from 1 species